rnacentral:rRNA from 1 species
UACAGAGGUCUCGAGCGUUAGGCGGAAUCACUGGGCUUAAAGCGUGUGUAGGCGGAUCGUUAAGUGCCUUGUGAAAUCCCACGGCUCAACCGUGGAACUGCUUGGCAUACUGGCGGUCUUGAGCAACCUAGGGGCGAGCGGAACAAAUGGUGGAGCGGUGAAAUGCGCAGAUAUCAGGAAGAACACCCGUGGCGAAGGCGGCUCUCUGGGACGGUACUGACGCUGAGACGCGAAAGCGUGGGGAGCGAACAGG